GCCUCGGUGGCUUUGUCGGCAAAGCGCCGGCCUAUGGAUCCUCAGUUGGCAGGUUCGAAUCCCGGCCGAGGUG
rnacentral:tRNA from 1 species